rnacentral:rRNA from 1 species
AACGUAGGGGACAAGCGUUAUCCGGAUUUACUUGGCGUAAAGCGCCCGUAGGCGGCCUGACAAGUUGGACGUGAAAGCUCCUGGCUUAACUGGGAGAGGCCGUUCAAAACUGUCAAGCUAGAGUCUGGAAGAGGAGAGCGGAAUUCCCGGUGUAGUGGUGGAAUGCGUAGAGAUCGGGAGGAACACCAGUGGCGAAAGCGGCUCUCUGGUCCAAAACUGACGCUGAGGGGCGAAAGCGUGGGGAGCGAACGGG